CGGGGUGUCGUAUACCGGUAGUACAUCUGGUUUGGGACCAGACAGACGGAGUUCGACUCUCCGCACCCCGA
rnacentral:tRNA from 1 species